UACGUAGGGGGCUAGCGUUGUCCGGAAUCAUUGGGCGUAAAGCGCGUGUAGGCGGCUCGGUAAGUCCGCUGUGAAAGUCGGGGGCUCAACCCUCGGAUGCCGGUGGAUACUGUCGGGCUUGAGUAUGGGAGAGGUGAGUGGAAUUUCCGGUGUAGCGGUGAAAUGCGUAGAUAUCGGAAGGAACACCUGUGGCGAAAGCGGCUCACUGGACCAUUACUGACGCUGAUGCACGAAAGCUAGGGGAGCAAACAGG
rnacentral:rRNA from 1 species